CCGUUGAUUUUGUUUUAAUAAGAUAGAUAGAUCGGCUACUAUUGUCAUUUGGUGGACUCAAAUUAAGAGAACUAUAUAAGAUAAUGAAUAUCAGGGAUGAUGUAUUCUUUUAGUAGAUAACAGAAGUAGGUACACCGUACACAUGACACAUAUGCAAGCCCACUCACAAUAUGUUAUGUCACACGGUCGAUGGGUUGGUGUUUGAAGAGGUUUUCAAUUUCUGAAAGCUAAAUAUAUACAUAUAUCUCUUCGAAAUUUUUAUUUUUUUCCCCGAUUUUUUAAUUUUUUUUUUCUCUACCCGAAAGGGUGAAUAUCAAUAUGCAAAAAUAUAAUAAAAACUAUGUGGGCCAGGUCAUAGUUAUAGUGGAUCAUUCUUGCACAUAGAUAUGCUAAAUAUGCAAAAGGAAAAUUAGUUCACAGUUGAACUGAGUGGAAACUUAGCCAAUAAAUUUUCGCUAUUGAUACUAAAAUGUCAGAACCCAUAUAUUUGGAUUAUUUUCCAAUUACCAAUAAAAAUAAAAACAUUCAUGAUAAAUCAUUAUGUAAAGAUGACUGCUUCUAAAAAUGUCAUAUUAUGUGGGUAACAUUUCAGCCGCCGCACAGAAGAAAAAAGAAGAGAACUCCAUAGCCUCCGAUCUCCUUUUGUGGUGGGCCGUGCUCCUUACCGCCGCUACAUGAGGGAAGAUCUUCUCUUCCUCUUUAGUUUAAUUGUAUGGUUUCAUAUCUUUUGGCGUUUCUUAGUAUCCUUCGUGAUUGAGAUCUUUCGUUGAUAAGCUUGCAUGGCUGUGGAGUCUUUUGGGGUUGAAUCAGUGCUUGGGUCCCUUGAGAAUUGACGAUUGGGUGAAGCGUUGUAGAGGAGACUUCUGUGGGGGUAGUUGGUGCUUAAUCGUUCUGUUUUUUGUUGCUCCCCUUUGUGUUUUUUCUAGACUGUGUUCUGCACUUGGAGUGUGGUUCCAGCUUUUUUGUUUGGUUCAGGUGAAGUUUUGGUUCGGAGAGUUGGGUUCAGUGACGAGUCUGGCGCUAUAUGUCAGGUCGAGGACCUGUUGACGGUGCGGUGUAGCUGUUGGGAGCAGUGCAGGUGCUUUCGCUGACGUCGUCUUUGGACUUUCUUCAACUUUAGUCCUUUUGCUGCUCAUCGUAUCUGCAUAGAAUUUAGUUCUCGCGUCCCGAAGAUCUUUGGUUUGCUAUUGGCUUCUCUCUAGUGAAAAGGUCUGAUUUGAGGUUUGUUGUUCCUCGCUCUGCUGUAUGGUCCGGCGGAUUGGCCUUUUUUUGUUCUUCGGUUUGGCUGUCAAGCAUUUCAAGUGUUGGGGGUCUGUUCUCAUUAGAGGCCCAUUCUCGGUUCGUCUGGUUGUCUCCUUGUAAAUUUCUGGUGGUUCUAAGUUUUAUGGAUCCUAUCUCAUUCUUCCUCUCUCAUGAACUUUCAGUAACUUGGAGUUUUCAGUUUUGAAUUUCAACUUGUUUCGGUUGCUUAUGUGCCAUGUGGAUGAGCUUUAGUUUUCCUUCUUAUGAGAUUUAAUUUCUCUUCUUAUGGGAUUUAGUUGCUGAGGA